CAGGUAUCGGUGGCAACGGCAAACUGGAUCUUUUCAUUCGCCUCACACCAGUGAAAUAUUGGGACAUCCUCGAAGGAACACAGUAUCCUAUUCCACUCAACAUCUGGAAGCAUAGAGAAGCUGCCGCAGAAUUACUUCUGCAAGCUUGUAACGAUGAUAAGACCGAAGACAACAUGCUUCAUGAUCUACCAGAAGAUGUUAAAGAUAUUCUGGGAAAAGAGGAGAUCAGAA